rnacentral:rRNA from 1 species
GAUGAACGCUAGCGGGAGGCUUAACACAUGCAAGUCGAGGGGUAACAUGAGGUAGCAAUACUUUGAUGACGACCGGCGUACGGGUGAGUAACACGUAUGCAACCUACCCUGUACAGGGGGAUAGCCCGGAGAAAUUCGGAUUAAUACCCCAUAACGAUAUUUGGAGGCAUCUUUAGAUAUUUAAAACUACGGUGGUAUAGGAUGGGCAUGCGUAACAUUAGCUAGUUGGCAGGGUAACGGCCUACCAAGGCUACGAUGUUUAGGGGACCUGAGAGGGUGAACCCCCACACUGGUACUGAGACACGGACCAGACACCUACGGGUGGCUG